GUCUUUUAGAAUUUAAUUUAAAGUCUGAUCUGCCCACUGAGUAGUUAAAGGGCCGCAGUAUUUUAACUGUGCAAAGGUAGCAUAAUCAUUAGUUUUUUAAUUGAAGGCUUGUAUGAAUGGUUGGACGAGAUAUUAACUGUUUCAUAUAAAUUUUAAUUAGAAUUUUAUUUUUUAGUUAAAAAGCUAAAAUUUUUUUAAAAGACGAGAAGACCCUAUAGAUCUUUAUUAAUUAUUUUAUUUUUAUUUUUUAAGAAUUUUUUAUUUUAAAUAAUUUUAUUAAUUUUGUUGGGGUGAUAGUAAAAUUUAAUAAACUUUUAUUUUUUUUUUACAUUAAUUUAUGAAUUUUUGAUCCUUUAUUAAUGAUUAAAAUUUUAAGUUACCUUAGGGAUAACAGCGUAAUUUUUUUGGAGAGUUCAUAUCGAUAAAAAAGAUUGCGACCUCGAUGUUGGAUUAAGAUAUAUAAUUAGGUGUAGAAGUUUAAUUAUAAAGUCUGUUCG
rnacentral:rRNA from 1 species